AUACGAGGGGUGCAAGCGUUAAUCGGAAUUACUGGGCGUAAAGCGUUCGUAGGCGGUUUGUUAAGCAAGAUGUGAAAGCCCUGGGCUCAACCUGGGAACUGCAUUUUGAACUGGCAAACUAGAAUACUGUAGAGGGUGGUGGAAUUUCCAGUGUAGCGGUGAAAUGCGUAGAGAUUGGAAGGAACAUCAGUGGCGAAGGCGGCCACCUUGACAGAUAUUGACGCUGAGGAACGAAAGCGUGGGGAGCGAACAGGAGUAGAUACCCUUGUAGUCC
rnacentral:rRNA from 1 species